UCCCUGGUGGUCCACUGGUUAGGACUCAGCACUUACAGUGCUGUGGCCCAGGUUCAAUCCCUGGUCAGGGAA